UAGGCAAAUCCGUUUAGACAAUGCUAGGAUGUGAUGGGGAAGCCCUUCGGGGCGAAGUAGCUGAUUUCACACUGUCAAGAAAAGCUUCUAUCGAGUUUAAAGGCGCCCGUACCGUAAACCGACACAGGUGGGUGAGGAGAGUAUCCUAAGGCCAGCGAGAGAAGUAUUGUUAAGGAACUCGGCAAAAUGACCCCGUAACUUAGGGAGAAGGGGUGCCUGUCUAUGACAGGCCGCAGAGAAUAGGCCCAAGCGACUGUUUACCAAAAACACAGGUUUCUGCUAAGUCGCAAGACGAUGUAUAGGAGCUGACGCCUGCCCGGUGCUGGAAGGUUAAGGGGAUCUGUUAGAGCAAUCGAAGCAGUGAACUUAAGCCCCAGUAAACGGCGGCCGUAACUAUAACGGUCCUAAGGUAGCGAAAUUCCUUGUCGGGUAAGUUCCGACCCGCACGAAAGGCGUAACGAUUUGGGCACUGUCUCAACAAUAGACUCGGUGAAAUUGUAAUCCCGGUGAAGAUGCCGGGUACCUGCGACAGGACGGAAAGACCCCAUGGAGCUUUACUGUAGCUUGACGUUGGGUCUUGGUACUACAUGUACAGGAUAGGUGGGAGACUAUGAAGCAUGGACGCCAGUCUGUGUGGAGUCAUCCUUGGGAUACCACCCUUGUAGUACUGGGAUCCUAACCAUAGGCCUUGAAUCAGGUCUUGGAACACCGUCAGGUGGGCAGUUUGACUGGGGCGGUCGCCUCCUAAAAAGUAACGGAGGCGCUCAAAGGUUUCCUCAGCACGGUCGGAAAUCGUGCGAAGAGUGUAAAGGCAAAAGGAAGCUUGAUUGCAAGACAUACAGGUCGAGCAAGGACGAAAGUCGGACUUAGUGAUCCGGUGGUACCGCAUGGAAGGGCCAUCGCUCAACGGAUAAAAGCUACCCUGGGGAU
rnacentral:rRNA from 1 species